rnacentral:rRNA from 1 species
UACGUAGGGGGCAAGCGUUAUCCGGAAUUACUGGGUGUAAAGGGAGAGUAGGCGGCAUGGUAAGUAAGAUGUGAAAGCCCGGGGCUUAACCGCGGGAUUGCAUUUUAAACUAUCAAGCUAGAGUACAGGAGAGGUAAGCGGAAUUCCUAGUGUAGCGGUGAAAUGCGUAGAUAUUAGGAAGAACACCAGUGGCGAAGGCGGCUUACUGGACUGAAACUGACGCUGAGGCUCGAAAGCGUGGGGAGCGAACAGG